rnacentral:rRNA from 1 species
GCGUUAUCCGGAAUCAUUGGGUUUAAAGGGUCCGUAGGCGGACUAAUAAGUCAGUGGUGAAAGUCUGCAGCUCAAUUGUAGAAUUGCCAUUGAUACUGUUAGUCUUGAGUCAUUAUGAAGUGGUUAGAAUGAGUGGUGUAGCGGUGAAAUGCAUAGAUAUCACUCAGAAUACCGAUUGCGAAGGCAGAUCACUAAUAAUGUACUGACGCUGAUGGACGAAAGCGUAGGUAGCGAACAGGAUUAGAUACCCUGGUAGUCUACGCCGUAAACGAUGGUUACUAGCUGUUUGGUCGAUUGAGACUGAGUGGCUAAGCGAAAGUGAUAAGUAACCCACCUGGGGAGUACGUUCGCAAGAAUGAAACUCAAAGGAAUUGACG